rnacentral:rRNA from 1 species
GACGAACGCUGGCGGCGUGCCUAAUACAUGCAAGUCGAGCGGAUCUCAGAGGGAGCUUGCUCCUGAUGAGGUUAGCGGCGGACGGGUGAGUAACACGUAGGCAACCUGCCCUUCAGACCGGGAUAACAUUCGGAAACGAAUGCUAAGACCGGAUAGGCAGCGAGGCGGCAUCGCCUUGCUGAGAAACACGGUGCAAGCUGUGGCUGGAGGAUGGGCCUGCGGCGCAUUAGCUAGUUGGUGGGGUAACGGCUCACCAAGGCGACGAUGCGUAGCCGACCUGAGAGGGUGAACGGCCACACUGGGACUGAGACACGGCCCAGACUCCUACGGGAGGCAGCAGUAGGGAAUCUUCCACAAUGGGCGCAAGCCUGAUGGAGCAACGCCGCGUGAGUGAGGAAGGCUUUCGGGUCGUAAAGCUCUGUUGCCAGGGAAGAAUAAGGGUGAAGUAACUACUCAUCCGAUGACGGUACCUGAGAAGAAAGCCCCGGCUAACUACGUGCCAGCCGCCGCCGUAACAC